AUUCUGUAGAAAGAUAAUAAAGCUGCUCUCGGUCAGUGAGUAGGAUAAUGACGAGGCUACCAGGUCGGCAGCAUAGUCCGGGGACGCGAAGCGGAACAGGAUUCCCGUGACAAGACGGUCGACGGAGAGGUCAUCAGGAGAGCCCGCUGGUGAAGAGAAACGACGCGAAGUAAACGCGUGUUGUGACGAGGCGCGCCUACCGUACUGAUCUGAUAUAAGAGGGAAUAAUAUGAAGAGUUAUUUACCUUCUGGGGCACCUAUUUUAUUUCUUUUCUUUAGACCAGUUGGUUGGACAAUUUCAAAUUUACUUUAGGAUCGCGCCGUCUCGACAAGAGCGUAGCUAAUUGCAUGAGAGAACUACGAGUGCCAAGACUGCGCCUAGUGUCAGACGUUUUUCCGAAGGCUACUGAAAGAUGCUAAACAAUAAUAUAAUGCGUCCUUCGUAUUUCAAAUCGACGCCUCAAGGUUCCACAUCUAAGCGUAUGCAAGCAUUGUCGGAAAUCAAGAUCUGAUCGACGCUAGCCUCGCUCGUCACCGAUAAAAAUGAAAGCAUCGUGGUUUGUGGAAGGGCGGUGACGUGGACGGCGCGUUAAGAGAGCGAGAGGAGACAAAGCGAGAAAACAGCAAAAAGAUCGGUUGAGCGAUCGGAGGGAGAAAGACGACGACAGGCAACAGUAAUAUCGCGAGUGGGAGAGACGUGGUGAACUCGCAAUCGUGCUGACGUACAGGAUACCUCAAAAGUCACCUGAUUUCUUUUAAGUCUAUAUUUCAAUCACUUUAUCCUGACAGAAUGUUACUGCUGUCGCUCUGUGAAGGUUUAUUAUCGUUGUUCUGAUACUAAUUUUAUAUACUCUUGCUUUCUUUCUUUUUCUCAUUCUUUUAACGCAAUAUUAAUAUAUCGUUAUUAUUAUUGUGUAUCAUGACUGUGUAUUACUACAUGAACUAACGUGUAUCAAAUUGUUUCCGCAUAUAUAGUGCGGGCGGUAUGCCGCGACGCGAGAAAGUAGCCAAAUAGAUGCGAACCGGUUCGCAAUCCUCGUCGUCAUUCUACGCCGUGGAAAAAAAGAAAAGAAGAGUCAAAGGAAGAAAGAGAGCGAAUAUGGGGAUAUCUCGACGAAAAGAAAAGAUACUGCGUACGCCUGUCAUCGCGAUACUUCGGUAGCAUUUCUUUACGCCAACGUUUCUACAUCACGGGCGGAAAUUUUGAUCGCGCGAUCGUAAUCUUUCGCGCACUUGAUCGUUGAACGUCGAGUAUGGGUUACCGGAGUAAUACAAGAAUAGUUUGUUACGAGUUAUGGCAAUAUAAUAGAUUGUAGUUUUAGCUCGAAACGUUAGAUUGCGCGUUAUUAACGAUUCGAGAGCCGUACCGGAAAUGGUUACUUUAAGUAUCCAAUCGCUGAGGGCGAUAAAAGAAUGCGCAAGAUACCGGAGAUAAUUAAGAAAUAAUUAAAUAUUUACGUUCUUUGAUUUUCUGGGACGCCGUACGAAAUUAGCAUGGAGUUUAUCAGAGAAAUCAGAAAAGCACAGUACUGGACUUGCAAUAUUUUUUCCUUAUCAUUCAAAUUUUCUCGAAAAUUUCUAAAUCUCUCGAAAUUUGUAGAUUGUCAAACGAAAAAUUUUUAUGCGUCGUAACUAUCGUUACGCGUUUCUAAAUUUGUUCGCUCUUGAUAAUUCGUGAUACUGAUAUCAAUAUUUUAUUUUGUAAUAACGAGAUAUAAUGAGGCAUGGAAGUACUGAUAUGCUUUUCUUUCUUCUCAUAUCGGAGCGAUCGUAAUUGAGUGGAAUCUUGUUACAUCACAGAUAAUUAUGAUAUGAUAAAUUCAAAAAUAUUCCACAUUUAAAUAGCGAAUAGCUCGUCUCUUUUUUAAACGUCAUAAAUUAAAUAGCUCUAUUUUGUUCGGAUAUAAACGAUCGUGCAUUGUAUAUCCACCUCCCUCGCAUUUCUUUACAAAGAAAGACAUAAAAGAGCACAGCUUCUCGCCUUCUAAUUUCCCCCUCCUUCCUUCACCGAGGAAUGGAGAGUUUGAUUUCUUGCACGCUCGCGUCUCUCUCCGCCAAGUUAAUUCUGCUCUCUAUCUCAAAGGGAAAAGAGAGAGAAAAAUUGAAGAGAGAAAAAAAAUUGUUGACCAUAAUGACACGAAAUUAGCGUCGCGUCCUAAUCGGUGGACGAUAUUACAGAUGUGUUACUGAGCGGUGGGUCGAGGUCGAUGAAAUAUUCCCAUCGACUCUUGCAUUCUAAGCUAUCGUAACCCUGGCACGAUCUACAUCCACGCUCCACUCGUCUCGCGGAAUUGUCGACCGGUACCACAGCAUCGCGCUCGCAAUUUGCAUCUCGAUCCCUUCCUCUAUCCUUCCUUCCCUCCCUCUCGAUACCAUUUAUAACGUUUCCGAAGGAGAAAUCGAAAUGGCAAAAUUCAAAUGACGAGGAUGAAUCCAAUUCCAGAGAUACAUCUUAGCCUCCUUAAAGAUUUUUUAGGAUAUACGAAAGGAUGUUUGACGAGGCUCUUAUAACGCCUCUUAGAAACGGUGCGUCUUCUAAUCGCAAACAAUAGAAAUCUGUAUCUGCGGUGAAUUAAACGAUGCACGCGAGCGUGCGGAUAGUACAGACUUCUUGCGACGUGAGAGGGGCGAUUGUCUUUACACGCAAUCAAUGUUCUCGCGUAAUGCAAGGAAAGAACAAAAAAAAAGGGAAAAUAACGUACCUUUUGUCUGCCACGUGUUGCGUGAGAGUGUUAUUUUAUUAUUGUGCGCGCUUCAUUAUAUAUACCCUAUAUAUAUCAGUAACUUGUAUGGAUGUGCUCAUUUUGUAAAUAUAUUAUGAUCAAAUACGUUUAUAUUUGAGAGUUUCGAUUGUGUACGUAACAAUUCAACAUAUCUAGAUGCGUUAUCAAGCAUCGCCUAUUCGAUAGGUCUAUAUCUUCAUUGAUAAGGAUUACCUGAUGGAUCUCUAUAAUGGCGCAAAUGACUUUGGCGAUAAACAAGCCAAAAUAAAUAACGAAUUAUCGCCAUUUCGAUUCAAAGCUACAUGUCAAUGAGAGCGUGUUGCGCUUUACUGAACACUCAGGAAACACAUUCUCCUGAAUGUUACGGGCGAGCAAUAUUGAAACAACACAUCUUCGGAUAUCAAUAGAACAGAUCCCACGCGCUUCGCGUUUAAGCUCAGUUCGACUUGGCAGAGUUUCAACAAAGUUGCACGCAAUUUGCAUCGCGUCGCGUUUUAUUUUCGACGUCUCCAGCGUGAAACACGACGUCGCUUUCGCAUCCUUAAAUGGCGAUCGCUGAAAUUGGGGGAAAGAAAAGAAAUUGUGGAUGGAAUUAUCCAAUACAAUUGACUUGAAAAUUGGACUCCUGGGAAGGGAAAAGAAAUCUCGUAUUUUGGAUGGAUAGAACUAAUAUUUAUUUGGAAUUCUUUAGAUAACACUUUGUUGUUCUGCGCACAAUCGAUCAGUUAAA